GGGAUAACACUUGGAAACAGGUGCUAAUACCGCAUAACCAUAGUUACCGCAUGGUAACUAUGUAAAAGGUGGCUAUACUACCGCUUUUGGAUGGGCCCGCGGCGCAUUAGCUAGUUGGUAGGGUAAAGGCUUACCAAGGCAAUGAUGCGUAGCCGAAUUGAGAGGUUGAUCGGCCACAUUGGGACUGAGACACGGCCCAAACUCCUACGGGAGGCAGCAGUAGGGAAUCUUCCACAAUGGGCGAAAGCCUGAUGGAGCAACGCCGCGUGGGUGAAGAAGGUCUUCGGAUCGUAAAACCCUGUUGUUAGAGAAGAAAGUGCGUGAGAGUAACUAUUCACGUUUCGACGGUAUCUAACCAGAAAGCCACGGCUAACUACGUGCCAGCAGCCGCGGUAAUACGUAGGUGGCAAGCGUUAUCCGGAUUUAUUGGGCGUAAAGGGAACGCAGGCGGUCUUUUAAGUCUGAUGUGAAAGCCUUCGGCUUAACCGGAGUAGUGCAUUGGAAACUGGGAGACUUGAGUGCAGAAGAGGAGAGUGGAACUCCAUGUGUAGCGGUGAAAUGCGUAGAUAUAUGGAAGAACACCAGUGGCGAAAGCGGCUCUCUGGUCUGUAACUGACGCUGAGGUUCGAAAGCGUGGGUAGCAAACAGGAUUAGAUACCCUGGUAGUCCACGCCGUAAAC
rnacentral:rRNA from 1 species